rnacentral:rRNA from 1 species
UACGUAGGGUGCGAGCGUUGUCCGGAAUUAUUGGGCGUAAAGAGCUCGUAGGCGGUCUGUCGCGUCGGUCGUGAAAACUUGGGGCUUAACCCUGAGCUUGCGGUCGAUACGGGCAUGACUGGAGUUCGGCAGGGGAGACUGGAAUUCCUGGUGUAGCGGUGAAAUGCGUAGAUAUCUGGAGGAACACCGGUGGCGAAGGCGGCAUCCUGGACCGAUACUGACGCUGAGGAGCGAAAGCCAGGGGAGCAAACGGG